AUGGGCAAGACAACUCUUGCAAACCAAGUGUAUCAAGAGCUAAAAGGAAAAUUCGACUGUCAAGCUUUCAUAUCAAUGUCACGAAAUCCAGAUAUGAUGAAUAUCCUAAGAACUAUUCUUAGUAAAGUCGGGAAUCAACGUUAUGCUGAAACAGAAGAAGGAAGCGUGCAGCAACUAAUUAUCAACAUCAAAGAGUGCCUACUAGAUAAAAGGUACUUUAUUGUUGUUGAUGAUAUAUGGGACGUCAAAACAUGGGAUGUCAUUAAGGCCACAUUCCCCAUUGACAGUUUUGGCAGUAUAAUAAUCACCACUUCACGCGUGAGAGAUGUCGCUGAGUCAUGUUGUUCAUCAUUUAGAGGCCAUAUUUACAAUAUAAGGCCUCUUAAUAUGAUGCACGCACAACAGUUAUUUCACGAAAGGUUGUUCAACUCUAAAGAAGAUUGCCCUGCCCACCUUAAAGUAGUUAUGGAUAAAAUAUUGAAAAAAUGUGAUGGUUUACCUUUGGCAAUCAUUGCAAUUUCUGGUCUAUUAUCUAACACGGAAACAACGGAGCUUCUUUGGAAUCAAGUGGAAAUUUCGAUUGGCCGUGCACUUGAAAGGAAUUCUAGUGUGGAAAGAAUGAUGAACAUAUUAUCACUCAGUUACUUUGAUCUCCCUCCUCAUCUAAGAACCUGUCUUUUAUAUCUGAGUAUAUUUCCGGAGGAUUCUAUUAUUGAGAAGAAAGUUGUCAUAAGGAGAUGGAUUGCUGAAGGAUUCAUUCAGAAGGAAGGAAGGUACACGGUACAUGAAUUAGGAGAAAGAUAUUUCAAUGAACUCGUCAAUAGGAGUUUGAUCCAACCUGUGGAGUCCGAUAGAUAUGAUAGGACGAUGAGAUUUCGAGUUCAUGACACAAUUCUUGAUUUCAUCAUAUCCAAGUCCGUCGAAGAGAACUUUGUCACUUUUGUGGGUGUUCCCGGAAUACCUGUUGGGACGCAAAGGAAAGUUCGUCGUCUCUCUCUCCAAGUUGGCAAUCAAAGGAAGUUGUUCCUACUAAAGGAUGUAAUAUUGUCGCAUGUCCGAUCUUUAAAUGUGUUUGGGGAUUCCAUGGAAAUCCCUUCUCUAGAUGAGUUCAUGCAUUUGCGUGUUCUAGACUUUGGUGGAUGUCGUCAAUUGGAAAACCAUCAUCUAGUAAAUAUAGGGAGGUUGUUUCAUUUAAAGUACUUGAACCUCAGGCACCUUGGGGUAAGUGAGCUUCCAGAACAAAUCAAGCAUCUACAAUACCUUGAGAUGUUGGACCUAAGAGACACCAAUGUACGUGAAUUGCCGAGAGCAAUUGCUAAUCUCAGUAGCUUGGUGCAUCUACUUGUUGACAGUGGUGUCACAUUUCCUGAUGGAGUUUUGAAAAUGCAAGCAUUGGAGAUAUUGAAACAGGUCGAAGCCCUCGGUCAGUCUUUGAACUUUCUCCAAGAACUCGGGCAGCUGAAGAAUCUGAGGAAGAUAUACCUUGAUCUGUUUGAUGUUCCAGUAAUUGGGGUUACCAAGGAGUGCUGCAAGAGUUUCAUUGCCUACAAAUCUCUCCGCAACUUGGGCACGCAGAACCUCCGUUCUGUAACUGUCUGGCAUGGCAGCGGCUUCUUACUGGAACCGUGGUACCCUGCCCCGCGUAGCCUCGAGAAGCUAAUUACCUGGCGUUCAGCAGUUCCUUGUGUUCCAGAGUGGGUGGGUUCCCUCGUCAACCUGCAGAAGUUACGCCUUGAAGUGGAGAGUCUUGGGCAACAAGAUCUGUGUAUACUUGGAGCCUUACCUGUUCUUCUCACUCUGGAUCUCGAAAAAACAACAAAAUCAUCAGAAGGCAAGCUCAAUGUCAGUGGAGGAGAUGGGUUCCGAUUCCUGAGGAACUUGCGUUAUAAUAUGAUGCUAAUGUUUGCACAAGGAUCUAUGCCCAGGCUUGAAAGGAUCAAGAUUUAUCUAGCCAAAACAGAGUCUCUCAUUGGUGACACCUAUGACUUCGGGUUGGAGAAUCUCCCCUGCCUCAUAUAUGUUGAAUGCAGAGUGAGUGGCAACGCAAGCGCUCAAGGUGGUGUUGAGGCUGCAAAGGCUGCCAUGGAGAGAGCAGCUAUGGCAAAUCCCAACCAUCCUAAACUACUCUUUGUGAAUCGCAGUCUACCAGCAAAGUUGCAUAAUGGAUGCUAA
rnacentral:rRNA from 1 species